rnacentral:rRNA from 1 species
UACCGGCACCCCGAGUGGUCGGGACGAUUAUUGGGCCUAAAGCAUCCGUAGCCGGUUUUACAAGUCCUCCGUUAAAUCCAGCUGCUUAACAGAUGGGCUGCGGAGGAUACUAUAAGACUAGGAGGCAGGAGAGGCAAGCGGUACUCAGUGGGUAGGGGUAAAAUCCGUUGAUCCAUUGAAGACCACCAGUGGCGAAGGCGGCUUGCCAGAAUGCGCUCGACGGUGAGGGAUGAAAGCUGGGGGAGCAAACCGG